GCAUUGCUUCCCUGGAUUUGAAUCCCUUUCCUGAGUGCUGAGACCACAUGCAUGUCCAAGUGACUUACAGACGGUCAAAAAACCUGAUGAUCAGCUGCCAGCAACCAAGAGGAUGAGUACCAUCACCAGAGGGAUGACCCGAACAGCUGAAAAAAUCAGACCAGAUGCCAAUAAUUCAAGCAGGCUCAUGUAGGAGCUCUUCUCAUAAAACCCAGAAAGGUCCUCACUUCCUGAGAUCCACGUUGGCCCACCCAAUAAUUGUCAUGGGACGUAGCACUGACCCUUUGAAGCAUUGCCCAACUCACCCUAAAUUCUCCUCCCUCCCUCCCUCCCUGUCAAGUGGGUGGCUAAUUAUUUACCUCUGUUUUUACCUUUUACCGUUUUUUACAUGGGUUAACUCAGGGACGAAAAGAAGGGAUGGGGCAGAUCCAAAGAAAAUCUAAAUCUGUGCCACAACUGUGAUCCAAAACAGCUCUGCUCAGUGGCUGCCUGAACACACAAGGCACUAUCCUUUUUGAUGGGAAGAUCCUUGGGACACCUGCAGUUUUGUUGGGAGGAUGCCCAGAACUGUCCCUGGCUUAAAAAUUUGGCUUUCAUCUCCUGCCCAGACCCAUUAAGCAGUGCACAAGCCCCUUACACACCUCCAUCCAGUAAGUAUGCUUCCAGCACACCUAACCUGAUGACAGCAUUUGUAGGCAUCUGUCUGUCCCGCGAGACAAUAUAAUUACUCCGGCUGAGACAUCAGCUCGCUGAAUGUGAAGCUGGAGUGACCUUUCCAGGGCGCAAAAGCUUGGGCAGUGUAUAUGGAGACACCGAGCUGCCCACACACCGGUGUCCCCACUCAGCCUUGCUGGUUUGGUCCAAAGGGAAGGCAGGUGCCGGUACAUCUGGAACCAGCUUGGCUGCAGGAGCUGUCGGAGCAAAGGAGAUCAUCCAUUUGUCCGUCUAUGAGGACUUUACUCCUAGACUGGCUGCUGACCAGGGUUAAAGAGCUGUCAUUUUAUUUCAACUAAUGUCAUCACAGCUACAGCAUAACUCUUACACUACCAACUUUAUAUAGAAAUCUGUGGUGGAAAAAGCUGGAGAUCAAAUGGUUCGAUUCUUUUGUCAUCUGUUGAUGCAUUACAUUAAGCGGCCACUAGCUAAAGAAACUCCCCCAGCAAUAACCUUGAGAGCAUGGCCAGAGGCACCAAUCUCCCAGCUCUCAGCUGCAUGUCUUAACCAUUAGGCUACAGGGUCCUUCUUCUUGUUCUCUCUCUUUCUGGCCCCAUGAGUCUUGCAUUUGUGGCUUGCAUUUAACCCUAGCUUCAACAGGAGGAGGUGAAGAGUGCCUCCCUCCCCAGCCUGUAACCUGGUGGCCAUGGCAUUCUCCUGUGUAGUGGCAGAUGUGGUUUCAAUCCCUUCAGGAUGAGGAUGGCUUAAACCCAGGUCUCCCACAUCCCGUGGUUAAGAGCCAAGAGCUUUAACCAUUGAGCUCGUAUAUAAAAGGCAGGCGUCACCUCUUUCUCUGGCAGCCAUGUCUUAAAAAGGUUGAGGCCUCCUUUGUUCUUUCAGUGAAUACUUGUGCCUUCGCUUAGGAAGGGGUUCCCAGCUUAGGAUCCCAAUCAGAGGGUGCCUCUAUUUCAGAGAGAGGUGGGAACUCAGACACCCCCUGUACCUAAAGUUUCCUACUGGGUAUUUCUAGGCAGGUCCCCACCCAGUGCAUGGGACUUUGGGACCUUCCUGCUGAGGUACCUACCUCUGCCCAGGACUGUAUGAGGAGCCUGGCACCUAACUCUGGGGUUUGGAUUCCACUCUGGAGCCCAGGAGCUCAACAGGAGAUAGUGGUAGCAUCUAAUUUGGCAGCACCUCGGUCCUCCUUUGCCUCUAGCACUAAGGGUGUGUGUCUAUACUGCUUCUGCAAUGAUCCUGAGAGCACCAUUGAGAAGGCCACCCCUGCCGCUCACACACAAUCCUUCAUGUGCAACCCCCAAAAUAAAGCAGUGAAGCCUUUCUCAUGGCCCCACUGCAUCGCUGCUCUCAGACAGCGUUUUGGAGAGCUGUGGUGCAGGGCACCCUCAGGUUGGCUGUACUGCCUCAUUUCUGUGUAUCCAACAGGGAGCAUCCGAGGAGUGGUACGGACAUGCCAUAAACAGCAUGUCCAAAGCUAUCCAGGGCGAGAGUGUCACUGCCAGGGUUAAGAGUCCCAGCAUCGUGCACUUUCCACUUGAGAGGACAUCAACUUACGUUUUGAAGUCUCCAAGGUUCAAAACCCUCUAGGACGGACCAGAAACCAGACAUCUGAGCUAUGAAAUUCCCUCCCAAACCUGGUGGUCAGGACUCCAAUGAAACCAUGCAUUUUGAUGAAGUCAAAGCAGUGCCUGAAAGAGAGGAAGAUGUUCUCAGAUGAACUCAUUUUGAUUUACCAAAAAAGUGUGUAAUAGUAAAUUCUUUAAAAUAAAAUGAUGGCGGUAGGUCCAGUUUUCUCAAGCACUCUUGCCAUGAAAUGACUAAGUGUUCCAUACAAAUGUGUAAUUAUGGCACUAUAGCAACCAUUGAAUUACCUCUCAUGUUUUACAUCUGAGAUAUAGGACAGAACGUCCUCUUUGGGUAAUUCACAAUAAAUAAUCGCAACAUA